rnacentral:rRNA from 1 species
AUUCCAGCUCCAAUAGCGUAUAUUAAAGUUGUUGCGAUUAAAAAGCUCGUAGUUGGAUUUCCGCUGAGGACGACUGGUCCGCCCCCUGGGUGAGCAUCUGGUUCGGCCUGGGCAUCUUCUUGGGGAACGUAUCUGCACUUGAUUGUGUGGUGCGGUAUCCAGGACUUUUACUUUGAGGAAAUUAGAGUGUUUCAAGCAGGCAAUUGCAGGAAUACAUUAGCAUGGAAUAACGAAUGGGUCUACAAUUUGGUUGAUUGUAGAUUGCGAUUAAUAGGGACAGUUGGGGGCAUUAGUAUUUAAUUGUCAGAGGUGAAAUUCUUGGACUAGUUAAAGACUAACGUAUGCGAAAGCAUUUGCCAAGGAUGUUUUCAUUA